rnacentral:rRNA from 1 species
UGGGGAAUAUUGGACAAUGGGCGCAAGCCUGAUCCAGCCAUGCCGCGUGAGUGAUGAAGGCCCUAGGGUUGUAAAGCUCUUUCACCGGUGAAGAUAAUGACGGUAACCGGAGAAGAAGCCCCGGCUAACUUCGUGCCAGCAGCCGCGGUAAUACGAAGGGGGCUAGCGUUGUUCGGAUUUACUGGGCGUAAAGCGCACGUAGGCGGACUUUUAAGUCAGGGGUGAAAUCCCGGGGCUCAACCCCGGAACUGCCUUUGAUACUUGAAGUCUUGAGUCUGGUAGAGGUGAGUGGAAUUCCGAGUGUAGAGGUUAAAUUCGUAGAUAUUCGGAGGAACACCAGUGGCGAAGGCGGCACACUGGACCAAUACUGACGCUGAGGUGCGAAAGCGUGGGGAGCAAACAGG